ensembl:snRNA U11 spliceosomal RNA
AAAAAGGGCUUCUGCUGUGUGUGGCACGGGGGGGCCCCACGGUCGCCUCCGCGGAAUCGACAUCAAGAGAUUUCGGAAGCACAAUUUUUGCAGUAAGGGGGUCGCCGGUAACCGCUUGUUCCGGCGCCCCG